GUCCACCCCAGGUCCUGGCUCCUCUCCAGGACCUCCAGCAAGAGAGGCAAAGAGGUAUGUCCUUGUGCCGAAUAUAGCCAGUCAAUAGUGGCUGCCUACAAUAGUGAGUGAAAAAAGACUUGGGGUCACACUUGGACUCAUAAGGAAAGAUGCACUGGUCAGUAACUGAUGUCCCUAUGAACACAGGACACAGUUAGUGAUCCCUCACCUAGCAUCUCACUCAACCCCAAAGCUAUGCCCUCUUGGCCAAGCUAGACUGGAUGCUUCUCUGUAGUCAUCUCCAGGCUGUCCCACUCUUGUAUCAGUCAGGACUCUUCUGCUUGCAAAUGACAGAAUUCAGCUUGAUCUGGACAUAAAGAAAAUGGAAAAUAGCUGGAUUCUUAAGGUCAGAAUUCUUGAUAUCUCCACCUUCCAGUUUCAGCAAAAGUCCCAAAGCUGAGUCCCAUUGGCUUGGUUGGAUCACAUGACCAUCCCUAAACCAGUGACCAUGUUCCAGUGGUCCAUGCCUGGGUUCCAUGACUGACCCUAUAAUGGGAUGAGGAUCUGGGAGUGGAGGUGGAUUCCAUUCACAGCCCAGGAACCUGGAAAAGAAGAAAGCUUGUUGACCAAAGGAAUAUGUGGUGCUUUUCUCAGAAGAUGCAAGUACAGAUUCUAGUCUAACAAAGACAUUGGUGCUCACCAUGACCCUCCCAGCACUCAGUCCCAUUCAGUGGAGACAUUUAGUAUCUAUAUCUGCCUCACUCUCUGUGUGGCCCAUUCUAACAGGGCCCUCUGGAAGGUCAACGUAGUCCCCCAAGAGAAGGAAACCGUUGCCUCUGCUCUUGAAGGGAACCAGAUCCUGGUCAUUCGUGUGCCUUUCUCCCUUUUCUUUGCAUGAACAUCAAACAGCUAUGCCAGAGCUGCCCUCUGCCCAGCACUUGCCGAGGGAAAAAAGGCCAGGGGCUAAAAGCUAGUCAACUGGAUCUGAUAUCCCUGAGAGAAGACAGCAGAGGGGGAAGGGAAGUCCCAGAACUGCUUUGGUUAACACCACUCAGUAUCCACUUCCCCUCACCCACCAACACUUCCUGAUUUCCUGCCAGCAAUUAGGUUCCAGGUGGGAGGAAGGCGAGGAGUGAGACCAUACUGUGGCACAUCUUAAAUGCUCCAUGAAGGCACUUAGGGCAGUGUCAUUGAGCCAGGAAGCCCUUAUGGGGCGUUUCUGGGAAAAGUGUUUACAGGAUGGAUUAGAGCAGAGAGUUCCAUAAACUAUGCCAACAAGUCAAUCUUGAUGUCUCUUCCCUGUGUUUAUUUCCAUAGACUUUAGUUUGGAGGAGGUGCAUUCUUCACUGGCUCUGUGGAUCAUGCACGUGGAAGGGAGUUCUGCUCCUUGAGAUUAUUUUUAAUUAUGGAAAAUUUUUCAGAUAUAAUCAAAAGUUUAGGGAAUGGUCCAACAAG
ensembl:lncRNA